AUGACAAUUCCAAGUACAUUGACAAACACUACCGGAAAUGCAAUGGCCCUUAGCGAGAAGUCCUCUACCACUUCUGCACAACACUUCACAUAUUAUGCCUUUGCAAAAAAAAAUAUUCCAAUUGGCUUGACACUGUUCGCCAUUGAUCAUAUGUGUACCUAUAUCAUAUGAGAGCAAAAUAACAUCAAUUAACAAAUCAAUUAAGAAUCAUCAGAAAACAAGAAUUUGUAGUUUUUGUGGUAAGUCGGCGUAAUGAAAUAUAGCUAAGAUACUACUAUAAUGAGCAAUUUUUAUUAUAUAUCAUAUAAAGAUUACCAACAANUCACAAGAGCAACAUAUAGUUUGAUGGACGCCAUACCUUUUAAUUUACUGAUACUCUAUACAAUGGAAGUGUAUUGACCAAAUGGUUCAAUCAUUGUAAAUUUAUAGGAAGAAGUAAAUUGCGUACAUAUGAUGGAUUAAAACAUGUGCCAUUUAAUUCACAAUAAAUAUAUUUAGUUGGUUGUUGGUAGCCUCCAUUAAUUGUUGAAAUCUUGAAAAAGUAUUUGAUCACAUGAACGGAUGAACCUAUAUCAAUGAAAGUCAAUCAUCUAUCCCAUUACGUAAGUUUAUUAUAUGUUAUGGAAAACUCUUUACCAUUAAAGUUUUUCAAUCAUGUACAUUGAGAUUUAUUUGAAGAUGAUGAACUUUAUUGCUCUUUGUGACAACGAGAUGGAAACAAAGGAUCACAUUUUCAUCAAAAAUGUAGUUGUGAGCCUAUUUUGGGUAUUUAUGUUUGUACUAAAGAUCGAACUUUCGCCCAAACCACAAUUUAGUAUUUCUCGAAAAAUGUAUUCAAACACAGACAAAUUUAACAUCAUCAAAAUUCUAUAAAAUGUAAAUGUAUUAUAUUUGAAAUGAAUAUAACUACUUAAUUUCAUUGUACUGAUUCCAUUCCCUCAAGUGUAUUGGUCGAUGUAAGGUACUAAGAUGGAGGUGAUUCCGUGCCCUCAAAUGUAUGGGUUGGUGAAAGGUACUGUCAUGGAGGUCUGAUGGUGUUAGAAGAGCAAUUUGUAUAGUCUAAUAGCAGCAGAGUAAAAUAACAUAUCACUUUCUAUGACUAAAUUAUUAUGGAUUUAAGCUUCUAAAAUAACAUAUCACUUUCUAUGACAAAAUUGUUAUGGAUUUAAGCUUUGCGUUUUUAUUGGCAUAAAAGCUCCACUAAUGUAAACUUUUUAAAUGAUAAUGAAAAUGCAAUUUAGACAUUAGUUAAGUUAUAAUAUUAAGGCCAUAAAUUAAAAUUUUGGAUUUUAUUGGAUACUAGGGAUAAUAUAUUAAUAUUUAGAUUUUGAUCUGGUAACUAAUGUGCAUCUCAUAAUUCAGUGACAUAUCACUAGAAUAAAUGAAUGCAUUACCGGCGAUACUUUUAACUUUACAUUUAAUCAUUAAUUUAGUUUCCAUCAAUUUUAAUAUACAAUAACUUUAUUAAUUUCAAAAUUCAAUUUUAGUUUCUAAUAAAUUGCAGUUUCAACCUUUUUUGUUAACAUUUUUUUAUAAUUAACCCGUUUAGAACACGAGUCUGACAACUAAAUAUGUAAUUUUAGUAUAUUGAUUUUUUGAAUGUAUAUUUAUUUCUAUAUUAUUAUUUUCACAUAAUUUUCACUUUCUUUAAAAUUCAAAUUCAACUAAAUUUUCCAAUUAAUCCUUCGUAUUUAACAUUAUGUAUUAAUCACCCGUUUUUGGUAUACGGGUCUUAAAUUUAUAACGUGAAUAUGAGUACAUGAUAAUAAUAAGAAAAAGUUAGUAAAUCAAAAAUUGGUAAAGAAUCAAUUUGAUUAUGGUUGGUAUAUUAUUUUCUCCACUAUUCAUUAACUUUAGAUGAUUCGCAUAUUAAAUUGGUUAUCAAUUUUUAUUUUUAUUUCUAACCUGCUUUGUUAUGUUUUAAAUAUAAACCACAUAAAAUGUAAAUACUAAUUUUGGUUCAGAUUCAGCUAAAGAAGAAGUAUAAAGUUUGAAAUGUUAUAGGAUAUGGUAGGAAUAGACCUAACAAUCCAUGUUUUCAUUGUAAAUCGUUUUUUGGGUAUCAAACAUGAAAAAUGACUUUAAAAUUUCGAAUAUUACUAAAUUGGUCUCUAAACAUUCAAUAAAUAUAAAGUUUACCCGCUAAGUUUUGUAGAAUCUAUACAUGUUUAUAUGUGUCGCGUUUCCCACAAAUUAAAUUUGAGUCUUAUGUGUUAAAACAUAUAAUUCGUUUUUACAUGAAUACACAUGAAUAAAAAUUUCUAAAAAUCAUUCAAAGAGAAGUUAUGUUGUAAUCACGUCGUUUAAGUAGUGUCGUCAAUCGAAUUAUCAUGUCUAUGUAUGAGAUGUGCUUAUGUGCACAUGCAUCGUCUGUCAAUACAUGUGCAUAUGCAUAGAUGUGCACAUGUGCUCACGAAUAUUUUUGAUGAAAAAUAUCUUCUGAUACAAAGAUAAUUAUAUUGAAAUUUCAAGAAAUAUCCCAAAUCUGAUUAAUAAAUUUAAUAACUAGAAAAUUUUUCAUUUUUUUUCUAAAUUCUAGCAACAUGUUAAAGAAAGUGUAGGUGAAAUAUAUUAUGCUUGAUGGAAUUUAAAAUAUAUUAUUUAGUUGAGAAACAUUAAUGAUAAGAAUUAUUUAAUUUUAGUUGUCAUUUUUUUAUAAUUAUUUUUUAUAAUGAUAAAAAAAACAUUAUACAUUAUCUAAAGCUGAAAUGUCUAUUUUGGAGAUGGUAAUAUUUUGGUAAUAACCCAAAAGUUUAGUUAUUCCUCUUUGUCAUAAUUUUUGUAUUUUUAUAAAAUUACACUUAUUAUUAAGUAUUAUUCAUCCCUAAACAUAUUGUUAUAACAUGUAGACACAUAAAACUUUUAUAUUUUAGUUCGAUCUCUUAAGCGACAUCUACACAAACUUUAAGGAUGACAAUUCCAACUACAUUGACAAACACUACGGGACAUGCAAUGGCCCUUAGCGAGAAGUCCUCUACUACUUCUGCACAACACUUCACAUAUUAUGCCUUUCCAAAAAAAAUAUUCCAAUUGGCUUGACAUUGUUUGCAACAACGUAAUUUUCAAAACAAAAUUUUCAUUUUUCAACAACCAAAUUCAUAUAAAAUAUUCUCAAAAGUAUCCAUCAAUAGUUAUCAAAUCAUAUCGUAUCCCAAGAUCACAAAAAUCAAAUCCUCUCUCUAGUAUGUACGAGUCACGUCGGCGCCUUCCCACGUUCCUCGCUAGUACCUAAAACACAUAACACAACUGUAAGCAUAAAUGCUUAGUGAGUUCCCCAAAAUACCACUUACAAACAUACGCCUUUCCAGGCCAUACUCCACACGACCAACUGGCCCAUGUGUCUCAAGGGACUUCCGUCCCAACCCGGUAAACCUUCCGGUCCUACCUGCGUUGAGCUUCCGGUCCAUAACUCCCUGACCUUCCGGUCCACAUCAUAAUGCCUUCCGACCCAUAUCAAACAUAACAUACAUAUCACAUACAUAGCGCAUACGAAACAGACAACUCAUAGCGUGCAACGCAUAUAUCUCAUAGCUUACCAGACCUUCUGGUCACACAUAGGUACCCUACCCGGUACAGUAUAGUGAGAAGACUCACCUCGUAUGAUGUCUAGAAUCUCACGUGCGCGAUAUCACUGACUCUCAAAACGACGACCUAGCCCCACUUAAUCACAACAAAUAAUCAUUCCAAAUAUUAACGGCUUUCAAGGCUAUGCUACACCCCUUUCCAUUAACCCACAGAAGGGUAAAAGACCAUUUUACCUCUCCUUGACUCAAAGGUCCACAUGUUGAGCAAAACCCUAAAAGUCAACAACAAGCAGUACGUGGGGCGUACCAGCUCCUCUACGCGGGGCGUACCCUUUCACUCCAGUAAGGAGGGACACGACCCGCUACGCGGCGCGUAUUGGGAUUACGCCUAGCUUACAUCCCAGUUUCUUACUUCCUCAUUUUAAUGUCUUAAACGGUUAAGACAUAACCCCACAUUUAAGAUCUGGCCAUUUUAAUACCUCUUAAUCCAUAAAGUUGAAACCUUUAAGCCUUUGCAUGGCUAUAAAGGUUCCCCACACCUUCUAACACCUUUCCUUUCUCCUCCAAAAGUCUAGAUCUCAUGCAUGGCUCAACAUUCACGUCCAAGAUUGCAUUUUUAUGAUCAUACAACUCAUAUAGUCCUGGAAUAUGAUAGAUCUAGGCGAAUGGAGACUAUUUGCUCAUAAAGUCUCCAUCUUGGGACCAAAAACCCUAUAAAUUGGUCCAAGAAGCACACCACACAAACUACAAGGCAAGAUCUGAACUUUUUACCUCAGGAAGAAGCUCCAACCUUUGUAGUCCUCAGAUCUACAUUUGUCCACCCACUUCUAGCUUCCACAAUGGUCUCCUCUUCUCUUCACCACCUUGGAAUGACACUUUGAAGCUUAGAACACUCACACCCAAGCUAAAAACGAAGGAAAUACUCUCUUAGGGUUUCUUUCUGAAAGAUGGUGGCUGAGGGACAAGACCAUCUCAUUCCUUUUUAGCCCUCAAGUCAUAUUAGGAUUUUGAAUCUGGGCCGGUUACGCCCGACGUAACCUUAGGUACGCCCAGCAUACCCGGAUGGAACCGCGUACAAAAUAAGCGUGCGAGUACGCGUAGCGUACUCCUUGUACGCCCAUCGUACUCACAAGCUUAACACUUAACACAAAGGGACCUAAUAUGACAACUUGGAAAAGAUGAAGGGCUAAAUGGUUGAACCUGAAUUCCAGGAUGUUAUAAUUCUCCCCCACUAGAACCAGACUUCGCCCCUGAAGUCUUAUACCGAAAACAACUCCGGAUGUUGCUCCCGCAUCUCUGACUCUGACUCCCACAUCAGCUCGGACCCCUUCCGAUGCUGCCAUUGAACCUGCACCAANNNNNNNNNNNNNNNNNNNNNNNNNNCCUGAAUCGCGAUUGGUCUCUCAAUGUAAUUCAGGCCCGCAUCCACCUGAAAAUCCUCCAGAGGCACUACCACCGACUCGUCGGCUAUACACUUCCUCAACUGAGACACAUGGAAGGUAUCAUGAAUGUGGCUCAACUCCACAGGUAGCUCCAGAUGAUAUGAUACUCUGCCUACUCUCGCAAUCACUUUAAACGGACCAAUAUACCGGGGCCCCAUCUUGCCCCUCUUCCUGAAUCGGAUCACUCCUAUCCAAGGAGAUACCUUCAGGAGCACAAAAUCACCGACCUGAAACUCGAGCUCAGGUCGUUGCCUAUCCACAUAACUCUUCUGGCGACUCUGAGCGAUCAACAACCUCUUUCGAACCUAUUGUGUCUGCUCUGUCGUCUGGAGCACAGUCUCUAUACUACCCAUCACGUGUUGCCCUACUUCUCCCCAGCAUAUGGGGGGUCCUACACCUCCUCCUAUAUAAUAGCUCAAAAGGUGGCAUGCCAAUGCUCGAGUGAUGGUUGUUGUUGUAGGAAAUCUCAGCCAAGGGCAAAUACGGGUCCCAACUUCCACCGAAAUCCAAUACACAUGCCCGAAGCAUGUCCUCGAGCAUCUGAAUCAUCCGCUCACUCUGUCCGUCCGUCUGUAGGUGGUAUGCGGUACUGAAAUGCAGCCUCGUACCCAACUCCUCAUGAAACGUCUUCCAAAAUUUGGAUGUAAAUCGCACAUCUCGAUCUGAAACAAUCGAGAUCGAAACUCAAUGCCGUGAUACCACCUCCCUCGCAUACAGCUUUGCCAGCCUCUCAGCAGAAGAGCUCUCAUUGAUAGCAAGAAAGUGAGCGCUCUUCGUCAACCUGUCUACAAUCACCCAAAUUGCAUCAACACCUCUAGCAGUCCUUGGCAAUUUGGUGAUAAAAUCCAUGGUAAUCUGCUCCUACAUCCACUCAGGAAUCUCUAACGGCUGCAGCUUACCAUGCGGACUCUAGUGCUCGGCCUUAACCUUGCGACAUGUCAAGCACCUCUCUACGAACCAUGCAACAUCCCUCUUCAUACAAGGCCACCAAUACUCCUUCUUUAAAUCCAAAAACAUCUUAGUGGCGCCGGGAAGGAUCGAGAACUUCGACCUAUGGGCCUCCUCCAUCAAGAUGGUACGCGCUCCGCCCACAAACGGUACCCAGAUCCGGCCCUGAAAAGUCAUAAGUCUUCGACUAUCGGUAACAAACUCCGAUACCCGCCCGAUCACCCGCUCCCUUUUGCGAUUCUCUGGUCUCACGGCCUCUGCCUGGGCCCCUCGUAUGGUGUCCAACAUUGGAGUCAUCAUUGUCAACCUUAUACAAAUGUCUCGAAUCGGGGCACUCUCCGCCCUACGGCUCAAAGCAUCGGCUACAACAUUAGCCUUGCCUGGGUGGUACAAGAUCUCACAAUCAUAAUCCUUUACCACAUCCAACCAUCUCCUCUGGCGCAUAUUCAGGUUGGGCUGAUCCAUCAAGUACUUCAGACUCUUGUGGUCCAUGUAUAUGGUACACCAAACCCCAUACAGAUAGUGACGCCAGAUCUUGAGGGCCAACACCACAGCCCCCAGCUCCAGAUCGUGGGUGGGAUACCUCGACUCAUGAGGCUUCAGCUGCCUCGAAGCAUAUGCUAUCACAUGCCCCCUCUGCAUAAGCACUGCUCCCAAACCGGAUAUCGAUGCAUCGCAGUACACCACAAAAUCCUCCAUCCCUUCCUGGAGUGCGAGCACCAGGGCUUCGCAUAUUUUCUGGCGAAGUGUCUCAAAUGAGGUCUGCUGCUCUGGACCCCAGGAAAAAGCGACACNACACCCUUCCGGGUCAACUUGGUGAGUGGCACGGCGAUCUUGGAGAAAUCCUUAAUAAAUCUCCGAUAAUAUCCGGCCAAUCCUAAGAAGCUCCUGAUCUCGGUGGGCGAUCUCGGCACCUCCCACCUCAUGACCACCUCAAUCUUGGCCGGAUCGACCAAUAUCCCAUUCUGGUUGACGAGAUGUCCCAAGAACUAAACCUCUCGUAACCAGAACUCACACUUGCAGAAUUUGUCAUACAGCCUCUCCGAUCUUAGAACUCUAAGGAUCUCCCUCAAAUGCUUCUCAUGUUCCUCUCUAAACCUCGAAUAUACUAAAAUAUCAUCAAUGAAUACGAUCACCGAACGAUCCAGCAUCGGCCUGCACACCCUGUUCAUGAGAUCCAUGAACGCAGCUGGUGCAUUGGUGAGCCCAAAAGGCAUCACCACGAACUCGUAAUGCCCAUAACGAGUUCUAAAUGCUUGCUUCUGGAUAUCUUCAUCCCGAACCCUCAUCUGAUGAUAACCCGACCUCAAGUCUAUCUUGGAGAACCAAGAUGCCCCUGCAACUGAUCGAACAGAUCAUCGAUCCUCGACAACGGAUAACGGUUCUUGACCGUCAACUUGUUCAACUCUCGGUAAUGAAUACACAUCCGGUGUGAACCAUCCUUCUUCUUGACAAAAAGGAUUGCCGCUCCCCAAGGUGAGCUACUCGGUCGAAUAAACCCCUUCCCCAACAGCUCCUGAAGCUGUGAGGAUAACUCCUGCAUCUUUGGCGGCGCGAGGCGAUAAGGCGCCUUGGCGAUAGGUGCUGCUCCUGGAACCAAAUCGAUACGGAACUCCACUUGCCUCUCGGGAGGCACACCCGGUAGUUCCUCGGGAAAAACAUCCAGAAACUCGCACACUAUCGGAACCUCAUCAAUCGAACUUGUCAUCCUAGCGGCCACUCGUGUGUCCAUAACAUAGGCUAUGAAUCCACUGCAGCCUUGCUGCAAACUCUGUCCCGCCCUGGCAGCCGAACAAAACGCUGACCCACAUCGGGUUCCCUCGCCAUACACUGUAAGCACUCCCCCACUGGGGUCUCGUAUCGUCACCAACUGACGCUCGCAGUCUAUAACAGCUCCAAAUCGGCUUAACCAAUCCAUGCCCACUAUAACACACACAUCCCCCAUCGCAAUCGGGACCAGAUCUAUCGGGAACUCCACACCGAAGAUCUCAAGGAUACAUCCUCGAAUCACAUCCGAAGCAUGCACUGCUCGCUCAUCAACUAUGGAAACUCACAGAGGUUGACUCAACGCCUCUCGACAGAUAUUAAUGUGCUGACUAAAUGCCAAGGAAACAAAUGACCGACUCGCACCCGAGUCAAAUAAUACCAAAGUAGGUACAGAACUCAUAAGAAAAGUACCAACGCAUAUCACCAUAUAAGCACAGUAUCUCAAACAAAAGAUAAAAUACAGAAUACAUACCAGCCACAACAUCGGGCGCCGCGCGGACCUCCUCCGCAGUCAACUCGAAAGCUCUCCCACGAGCCUUCGGAGCCUCGGCCUUCACCGGUCGAACCUCGGUAACCCUAGCAGCAGGCGCAGAUCCCUGAUGUAGCUGAGGGCACUAGGCCUUCCGAUGGCCGGUUUGGUUGCAAUGGAAGCAAACCAUAAAUCCCUUGGGUAAUCCCUGGCGAUAUGUCCCUCCUUGCCACAUUUGUAGCAAGCACCCGAUCGACAGGCGCCCUCAUGACCCUUGCCGCACUUCCCGCAAGUGCGGCCCUUCUGGCCUCUAGUCCUCGAUCAGCGGACNNGUGGCUGCCGGCUGAGACUGAGCCGGCCGCCGAUCCAUCCUCUGAGACUCGACCUCCUCCCUGGCUUGAGUCUCCAACUUAAUCUCCCUCUUUCGGGCAUUUUCCUGGAGCUCAGCAAAUGUCCGGUACGUCGAGUUCGACACAAACUCCCAAAUGUCCCUCCUCAGAAUGCCCAAAUACCGGCUCAUCCAUUCCUGCUCGGUAGACACCUGCUUAGGGCAGAACAUCACCCUCUCAUUAAACUUCCGGGUGACCACAGUAACCGAAUCAUUACCCUGUUUGAGGGUCAAGAACUCCUGAACCAACCGUUCCCUCUCCACCGGGGGAACAUACUCGUCUCUGAACAUGGUGGUGAACCUCUCCCAGGUCACCUCUGAAAUCUCUGCAAGAGUGAAGCUCGUUGUCACGAACUUCCACCAAUCCUUCGGUCCCAAGCGAAGCUGGUUCAAAGCGAACCGUACCCUCAGAUGCUCCGGACAUGAACACGUAUAGAAGCAUCCCUCAAUGUCAAAAAUCCAUCUCAUCGCAACGAUUGGCUAUUGCUUCCCAUCAAACUCGGGUGGCUUCAUGUUGCUAAACUCCCGGAACAACAACGAGUCACCUCCCUGAGGUUUGGCAGCAGCCACAACUGUUGUAGCUGCAACGGAUGCGGCUUCAGUCACCAUGGCGUACCGCUCAUCAAAAGUCUCCAUCAGUGUGGUCUUGAUAGACCCAAACAUCUCCGAAAUCUCGGCCUUGAUCGCCGCAGCCACCUCAUCGUGGAUCAUCUGACGUAGCUCCGUAGCCACUCUAGUCCUAAUAUGAAUACCUAGCCAGCUCUAACAUGCAUAAUAUAACAUUUCAUAUUUCAUAACACAUACGUAAGGACUUUUUGGGGGGUUCACCGUUCAGGCGCUGACUAACCGUACAUACUGCUCCGCUCUGGUUGUCUCAAAUUCUCUUGCUUUUUAGAAAAAUUAGUUUUUAUCGUUUGAAAUUUUCCUCAAAUCCUCAGUUUGAGUUCAGCUAUGCCCGAAGGUGCAUCCGAAUCUCUUAAACCAAGGCUCUGAUACCAACUUGUAACAACGUAAUUUUCAAAACAAAAUCUUCAUUUUUCAGCAACCAAAUUCGUAUAAAAUAUUCUCAAAAGUAUCCAUCAAUAGUUAUCAAAUCAUAUCGUAUCCCAAGAUCACAAAAAUCAAAUCCUCUCUCUAGUGUGUACGAGUCAUGUUGGCGCCUUCCCACGGUCCUCGCUAGUACCUGAAACACAUACGACAACAACUGUAAGCAUAAAUGCUUAGUGAGUUCCCCAAAAUACCACUUACAAACAUACGCCUUUCCAGGCCAUACUCCACACGACCUUCCGGCCCAUGUGUCUCAGGGGACUUCCGUCCCAACCCGGUAAACCUUCCGGUCCUACCAGUGUUGACCUUCCGGUCCAUAACUCCCUGACCUUCCGGUCCACAUCAUAAUGCCUUCCGGCCCAUAUCAAACAUAGCAUACAUAUCACAUACAUAGUGCAUACGAAACAGACAACUCAUAGCAUGCAACACAUAUAUCUUAUAGCCUACCAGACCUUCCGGUCACACAUAGGUACCCUUCUAGGUACAGUGUAGUGAGAAGACUCACCUCGUAUGAUGUCUAGAAUCUCAUGUGCUCGGUAUCACUGACUCUCGAAACGACGACCUAGCCCCACCUAAUCACAACAAACAAUCGUUCCAAAUAUAAACGGCUUUCAAGGCUAUCCUACACCCCUUUUCCAUUAACCCACAGAAGGGUAAAAGACCAUUUUACCUCUCUCUGACUCAAAAGUCUACAUGUUGACCAAAACCCUAAAAGUCAACAAAAAAAGUCAACAGCAAGCAGUACGCGGGGCGUACCAGCUCCUGUACGCGGGGCGUACCCUUGCAAUCCAGAAAGGAGGGACGCGACCCACUACACGACGCGUAUUGGGCUUACGCCUAGCGUACAUCCUAGUUUCUUACUUCCUCCUAUUAAUGUCUUAAACGGUUAAGACAUAACCCCACAUUUCAGAUCUGGCCAUUUUAAUACCUCUUAAUCCAUAAAGUCGAAACCUUUAAGCCUUUGCAUGGCUAUAAAGGUUCCCCACACCUUCUAACACCUUUCUUUUCUCCUCAAAAAAAUAUAGAUCUCAUGCAUGGCUCAACAUUCACAUCCAAGAUUGCAUUUUUAUGAUCAUACAACUCAUAUAGUCAUGGAAUAUGAUAGAUCUAGGCCAAUGGAGACUAUUUGCUUAUAAAGUCUCCAUCUUGGGACCAAAAACCCUAUAAAUUGGUCCAAGAAGCACACCACACAAACUACAAGGCAAGAUCUGAACUUUUUACCUCAGGAAGAAGCUCCAACCUUUGUAGUCCUCAGAUCUACAUUUGUCCACCCACUUCUAGCUUCCACAAUGGUCACCUCUUCUCUUUCACCACCUUGGAAUGACACUUUGAAACUUAAAACACUCACACCCAAGCUAAAAACGAAGGAAAUACUCUCUUAGGGUUUCUUUCUGAAAGAUGGUGGCUAAAGGACAAGACCAUCUCCUUCCUUUUAUAGCCCUCAAGUCAUAUUAGGGUUUUGAAUCUGGGCCGGUUACGCCCGGCGUAACCUUAGGUACGCCCAGCGUACACGGAUGGAACCGCGUACAAAAUAAGCGCGCGAGUACGCGUAGCGUUCUUCUUGUACGCCCAACAUACUCACAAGCUUAGCACUUAACACAAAGGGACCUAAUAUGACAACUUGGAAAAGAUGAAGGUUUAAAUUGUUGAACCUGAAUUCCGAGAUGUUACAUUGUUCGCCAUUGAUCAUACGUGUACCUAUAUCAUAUGAGAGCAGAAUAACAUCGAUUAACAAAUCAAUUAAGAAUCAUAAGUAAAGAAGAAUUUGUAGUUUUAGUGGUAAAUCGACGUAAUGAAAUAUAGCUAAGCUACUACUAUAAUGAACAAUUUUUAUUAUAUAUCGUAUAAAUAUUACCAACAAUGGCGAGUAUGAUCACAAGAGCAACAUAUAGCUUGAUGGACGCCAUACUUUUUAAUUUACUGAUA
rnacentral:lncRNA from 1 species